AGAGUUUGAUCCUGGCUCAGGAUGAACGCUGGCGGCGUGCUUAACACAUGCAAGUCGAACGCACCUUCGGGUGAGUGGCGGACGGGUGAGUAACGCGUGAGAAUCUGCCCUCAGGAGGGGGAUAACGGCUGGAAACGGCCGCUAAUACCCCAUAUGCCGAGAGGUGAAACGAGUUUUCGCCUGAGGAUGAGCUCGCGUCUGAUUAGCUAGUUGGUGGGGUAAGAGCCUACCAAGGCAUCGAUCAGUAGCUGGUCUGAGAGGAUGAUCAGCCACACUGGGACUGAGACACGGCCCAGACUCCUACGGGAGGCAGCAGUGGGGAGUUUUCCGCAAUGGGCGAAAGCCUGACGGAGCAACGCCGCGUGAGGGAUGAAGGCCUCUGGGCUGUAAACCUCUUUUCUCAAGGAAGAAGAUCUGACGGUACUUGAGGAAUAAGCCACGGCUAAUUCCGUGCCAGCAGCCGCGGUAAUACGGGAGUGGCAAGCGUUAUCCGGAAUUAUUGGGCGUAAAGCGUCCGCAGGCGGUCUUGAAAGUCUGUUGUUAAAGCGUGGAGCUUAACUCCAUUUCAGCAAUGGAAACUAGAAGACUAGAGUGUGGUAGGGGCAGAGGGAAUUCCCGGUGUAGCGGUGAAAUGCGUAGAUAUCGGGAAGAACACCAGUGGCGAAGGCGCUCUGCUGGGCCAUAACUGACGCUCAUGGACGAAAGCCAGGGGAGCGAAAGGGAUUAGAUACCCCUGUAGUCCUGGCCGUAAACGAUGAACACUAGGUGUCGGGGGAAUCGACCCCCUCGGUGUCGUAGCCAACGCGUUAAGUGUUCCGCCUGGGGAGUACGCACGCAAGUGUGAAACUCAAAGGAAUUGACGGGGGCCCGCACAAGCGGUGGAGUAUGUGGUUUAAUUCGAUGCAACGCAAAGAACCUUACCAGGGUUUGACAUCCUGCGAACCCCUUGGAAACGAGGGGGUGCCUUCGGGAGCGCAGAGACAGGUGGUGCAUGGCUGUCGUCAGCUCGUGUCGUGAGAUGUUGGGUUAAGUCCCGCAACGAGCGCAACCCACGUCUUUAGUUGCCAGCAUUCAGUUGGGCACUCUAGAGAGACCGCCGGUGAUAAACCGGAGGAAGGUGUGGAUGACGUCAAGUCAUCAUGCCCCUUACAUCCUGGGCUACACACGUACUACAAUGCUACGGACAAAGGGCAGCAAACUCGCGAGAGCUAGCAAAUCCCAUAAACCGUGGCUCAGUUCAGAUCGUAGGCUGCAACUCGCCUACGUGAAGGAGGAAUCGCUAGUAAUCGCAGGUCUGCAUACUGCGGUGAAUACGUUCCCGGGCCUUGUACACACCGCCCGUCACACCAUGGAAGUUGGCCACGCCCGAAGUCGUUACUCCAACCCUUGUGGAGGAGGACGCCGAAGGUGGGGCUGAUGACUGGGGUGAAGUCGUAACAAGGUA
rnacentral:rRNA from 1 species